UUAACCCCAGCCUUUGCUAAGGGGCUUUAUUCCCUCUCUGGGAUCUGCUAAGGUAAGAGCUCUCCUCUUAUUUCUGUGAAGAGGCUCUUUCAGCUUAUAUCAGCUUGUUCUCAGCAGGUGCUUUUGGGUAUGUAAAGCAACAGAAGCUUUGAAGAUGCUGUGAGGAAAACAGCAUAGAGAGUAUCUAAGUUCAUGAUUUUUUGGAUUGUGGGUUCAGGGGUGGUAAGGUGCUUUUGUAAUUUCUGCUUUUGUUCUUGGGGUGUUUUUUUUGUUUUUGUUUCUGUUUUUUUUCUUCUUUUUAGGAGGAAUGCAACUUUUUGAAAUUCCAGAUUGUGUCAAGUGGAGUACUUUCUUCAGCAGAUUCAUAACGUCACAAAAGGGAUUUACUCUGUGUCCAAGAUGAUAUUUGAGAUUGAAGCUUCAAAUGAGUGCCACUCAUAAUAACACCCUUGGACUCAGUAUGAAGCCAGAGACUCAAGGACCUAGGCACACUCAGGAGAGGCUGACUGAGAGGUUAACAGGCGAUUGUGGCAGAGGUGCUCUGAGGCAUACUCAUUUCAGGUCCAGUGUGGACUCACAUCAUCGGUCAUCCAAAAGAUAAGUUGGGGGCCACAGCCUGGAGAUGGGAUGAUAGGAGGGUAGUGGGUUGGAAAUUCCUGGGACAGAUUUAAAAAUUAGCAGGGGGAAAAGCAAUGCCCUCUCAGGGCCCUCUUAAGACACCUAGAGGGAGAGGCUCUACCUUUGAUAACAGCUGUAGGGUGUGCAGUGCAGAACAGUUCCAGUUUGUUGUGUUGUCUGGUGUAUACUGUGUUACCUAGUGUGUCUUUGGGGCCCCUCGGAUCAGAUAUCUCUGCCUUUUUCCCCUCGAGGCCCUUACCACAACCAUCAGCCGUCAUCCCUAGGUUCUCGAACGCUCGCACUUCUCUGCAUGAUGCCAAUAUCGUUUGUUCUUUUACCGGCGGUCUCUGCCGUGUUUCCGAGUCACAUCGCAGAAGCGUCGAGUGGGACAUGUUUUGAGGCCUUGCUCCCGGCCAUAUCACCAUCCAUCUUUUCCAGCCAUGGAUUGUAAUGUCCUGGAGUUGAUAAGAUCGUAUGUGUUUGCGUGUCUCAUGUCUUUCACCGUAGCCAUUUGAGGAGUCAUUCAGAAAACUGGCAUCAUUCUUAGCAUCUGUUAUAUCUUCUUUAAUAUGAGCAUAGGUAGAGGAUUCUGACAACAGUAUUCACAGGCAUCCAUCUUUGCAGUUCUUGGAAGAAAUAAUUCCAUUAGCAUCCUCCUCCUCCAGGGUUCUCUGAGCCUCAGCGGCUCACCAUCGAUCUCACCUCAGUCAUUUCAUUCUGCAUUCUCUCGGUCCUUGCAGUCAUUCCUCUUGCCAAGAGAUUCCUGUCCCUGUUGUGUCCCCAUUGUUUGUCCCGUCCUGUCCUGUGUCACGGGUGUCUGCACGUAUUUGUGUCAGAGCUGUUCUGCUCUGCCCUGCUGCGUAGUCUGGUGUGACAGGACAAAUCCUGGGGGCUUGAAAUUUGUAGUGUGGGGAGUAGUUGGACUCUGGUAUUCCUAGGUUGACCCAAGAUGUCUGGAGCUGUGAAGU